UACGGAGGGGGCUAGCGUUGUUCGGAAUUACUGGGCGUAAAGCGCGCGUAGGCGGCUUUGUAAGUUAGAGGUGAAAGCCCGGGGCUCAACCCCGGAACUGCCUUUAAGACUGCAUCGCUGGAAUCCGGGAGAGGUGAGUGGAAUUCCGAGUGUAGAGGUGAAAUUCGUAGAUAUUCGGAAGAACACCAGUGGCGAAGGCGGCUCACUGGACCGGUAUUGACGCUGAUGUGCGAAAGCGUGGGGAGCAAACAGG
rnacentral:rRNA from 1 species